rnacentral:rRNA from 1 species
AACGAACGCUGGCGGCAUGCCUAACACAUGCAAGUCGAACGAGAUCUUCGGGUCUAGUGGCGCACGGGUGCGUAACGCGUGGGAAUCUGCCCUUUGGUUCGGAAUAACAGUUGGAAACGACUGCUAAUACCGGAUGAUGACGAAAGUCCAAAGAUUUAUCGCCAGAGGAUGAGCCCGCGUAGGAUUAGCUAGUUGGUGUGGUAAAGGCGCACCAAGGCGACGAUCCUUAGCUGGUCUGAGAGGAUGAUCAGCCACACUGGGACUGAGACACGGCCCAGACUCCUGCGGGAGGCAGCAGUGGGGAAUAUUGGACAAUGGGCGAAAGCCUGAUCCAGCAAUGCCGCGUGAGUGAUGAAGGCCUUAGGGUUGUAAAGCUCUUUUACCCGGGAUGAUAAUGACAGUACCGGGAGAAUAAGCUCCGGCUAACUCCGUGCCAGCCGCCGCAGUAACA